rnacentral:rRNA from 1 species
AGCGAACGCUGGCGGCAGGCCUAACACAUGCAAGUCGAACGAACCUUUCGGGGUUAGUGGCGGACGGGUGUGUAACACGUGGGAACGUGCCUUUAGGUUCGGAAUAACUCAGGGAAACUUGUGCUAAUACCGAAUGUGCCCUUCGGGGGAAAGAUUUAUCGCCGUUAGAGGGGCCCGCGUCUGAUUAGCUAGUUGGUUGAGGUAAUGGCUCACCAAGGCGACGAUCAGUAGCUGGUCUGAGAGGAUGAUCAGCCACAUUGGGACUGAGACACGGCCCAAACUCCUACGGGAGGCAGCAGUGGGGAAUCGUGCGCAAUGGGCGAAAGCCUGACGCAGCCAUGCCGGGUGAAUGAUGAAGGUCUUAGGAUUGUAAAAUUCUUUCACCGGGGACGAUAAUGACGGUACCCGGAGAAGAAGCCCCGGCUAACUUCGUG